rnacentral:rRNA from 1 species
GACAGAGGUGCCGAGCGUUAGGCGGAAUCACUGGGCUUAAAGCGUGUGUAGGCGGAUCGUUAAGUGCCUUGUGAAAUCCCACGGCUCAACCGUGGAACUGCUUGGCAUACUGGCGGUCUUGAGCAACCUAGGGGCGAGCGGAACAAAUGGUGGAGCGGUGAAAUGCGUAGAUAUCAGUUGGAACGCCAAUGGUGAAAACAGCUCGCUGGGGGUUUGCUGACGCUGAGACACGAAAGCCAGGGGAGCAAACGGG